GAUGAACGCUGGCGGCGUGCCUAAUACAUGCAAGUCGAGCGAACGGACGAGAAGCUUGCUUCUCUGAUGUUAGCGGCGGACGGGUGAGUAACACGUGGAUAACCUACCUAUAAGACUGGGAUAACUUCGGGAAACCGGAGCUAAUACCGGAUAAUAUUUUGAACCGCAUGGUUCAAAAGUGAAAGACGGUCUUGCUGUCACUUAUAGAUGGAUCCGCGCUGCAUUAGCUAGUUGGUAAGGUAACGGCUUACCAAGGCAACGAUGCAUAGCCGACCUGAGAGGGUGAUCGGCCACACUGGAACUGAGACACGGUCCGGACUCCUACGGGAGGCAGCAGUAGGGAAUCUUCCGCAAUGGGCGAAAGCCUGACGGAGCAACGCCGCGUGAGUGAUGAAGGUCUUCGGAUCGUAAAACUCUGUUAUUAGGGAAGAACAUAUGUGUAAGUAACUGUGCACAUCUUGACGGUACCCAAUCAGAAAGCCACGGCUAACUACGUG
rnacentral:rRNA from 1 species